UACGUAGGGUGCAAGCGUUGUCCGGAAUUAUUGGGCGUAAAGAGCUCGUAGGCGGCUUGUCACGUCGGGUGUGAAGGCCCGGGGCUUAACCCCGGGUCUGCAUUCGAUACGGGCUAGCUAGAGUGUGGUAGGGGAGAUCGGAAUUCCUGGUGUAGCGGUGAAAUGCGCAGAUAUCAGGAGGAACACCGGUGGCGAAGGCGGAUCUCUGGGCCAUUACUGACGCUGAGGAGCGAAAGCGUGGGGAGCGAACAGG
rnacentral:rRNA from 1 species